GUAUUACUUUGAAGGGUUUUGAAGCUGGCCUUUACUGGCAUGUGCGCGCCCUUCUCAUACUUAUCCACAUAACACCUGUGCACCUCUGAUAAGUUUGUGUUGGUCUCGACUGAGGCAAGCUUAUCAUUUUUUACAUUUAAAUGCCUGUUUAUAAUGCAUGUCUUAUGCUCUAUGGAGCACACACAAAAAUACAACUUUCAACAACGGAUCUCUUGGCUUU
rnacentral:misc_RNA from 1 species